GGAUGAAGAACGUAGCGAAAUGCGAUAAGUAAUGUGAAUUGCAGAAUCCAGUGAAUCAUCGAAUCUUUGAACGCACAUUGCGCCCGCCAGCAUUCUGGCGGGCAUGCCUGUUCGAGCGUCAUUUCAACCCUCGACCUCCCUUUGGGGAAGUCGGCGUUGGGGACCGGCAGCACACCGCCGGCCCUGAAAUGGAGUGGCGGCCCGUCCGCGGCGACCUCUGCGUAGUAAACCAACUCGCACCGGAACCCCGACGUGGCCACGCCGUAAAACACCCAACUUCUGAACGUUGACCUCGAAUCAGGUAGGACUACCCGCUGAACUUAAGCAUAUCAAUAAGCGGAGGA
rnacentral:misc_RNA from 1 species